rnacentral:rRNA from 1 species
AUUGAACGCUGGCGGCAUGCCUUACACAUGCAAGUCGAACGGCAGCACGGGUGCUUGCACCUGGUGGCGAGUGGCGAACGGGUGAGUAAUACAUCGGAACAUGUCCUGUAGUGGGGGAUAGCCCGGCGAAAGCCGGAUUAAUACCGCAUACGAUCUACGGAUGACAGCGGGGGACCUUCGGGCCUCGCGCUAUAGGGUUGGCCGAUGGCUGAUUAGCUAGUUGGUGGGGUAAAGGCCUACCAAGGCGACGAUCAGUAGCUGGUCUGAGAGGACGACCAGCCACACUGGGACUGAGACACGGCCCAGACUCCUACGGGAGGCAGCAGUGGGGAAUUUUGGACAAUGGGCGAAAGCCUGAUCCAGCAAUGCCGCGUGUGUGAAGAAGGCCUUCGGGUUGUAAAGCACUUUUGUCCGGAAAGAAAUCCUUGGCCCUAAGACGGUCGGGGGAUGACGGGACCGGAAGAAUAAGCACCGGCUAACUACGU